ACAGAUGAAGGUUGUGCUGCUCUGGCUUCAGCUCUGAGAUCAAACCCCUCACACCUGAGAGAACUGGAUCUGUCUGGGAAUAAACUAGGAAAAUCAGGAGUUAAGUUACUCUCUGAUCUGAAAGAUGAUCCACAUUAUAAACUGGAGACAUUAUACUAUUG